rnacentral:rRNA from 1 species
UACGUAGGGUGCAAGCGUUGUCCGGAAUUAUUGGGCGUAAAGCGCGUGUAGGCGGCUUGUUAAGUCGGGUGUGAAAGCCCUCAGCUCAACUGAGGAAGUGCGCCCGAAACUGGCGAGCUUGAGUGUCGGAGAGGAUGGCGGAAUACCCCAAGUAGAGGUGAAAUUCGUAGAUAUGGGGUGGAACACCGGUGGCGAAGGCGGCCAUCUGGACGACAACUGACGCUGAGACGCGAAAGCGUGGGGAGCAAACAGG